CUUGCCACUUUCAGGGGCUGAUCUAAUCUGGGGACCCUUCUCAUCAACGCCUACAUCCGGGUGUUCUCAAGCACUUCUCAGACACCAGUGUGGAUGCCAGCUCCUCUGCAUCUCACUUCCAUCUCCUCUUUUCCUAGUUUCACGCAGCUAGCUCCAACAAAAAGCCUUGUGAACCUCUGGGAGCUUUUUGAUGAACUUCUGUUGAAUUUUGCAGAUGCUCACUGAAACAUAACCCUGGAUAUGUUUAACAGCACUUCUGAGUUUGCAGCUGAAGUUCAAAUGUGAUUUCUUUCAUCAAAGUCCCUCUUAAAUAGAAGUGAUGUCUCACCAUGUCUUAGUGAUGAUUUUGAUCCAGCUUUGCCUCUCGGGUCAACACUUUGUUAGGAGCAGAUAUUAACAUAUGUAGUUCUGCGUCUGCCUCCCACAACGCAAUGCUACACUUUGCUAACUUUCUCCAGACCCGGAAAGAUUCUCCUUUGCUUGGUUACAGCAAUGGCACGGCACGUCUGGAUCUCUUUCAAGUGACUCCUUUAUCUUCCACAAUUGUUUUUUCCUACCCUCUCUUUUCCUCUGCUUAUACAAAAUCAAAGUUUUGAACAUGUUGUAUUAGUUAACAGAAAAAAAAAAAAAUCAACAUACUUAAACUAUGCCGUAAGCUCCUUUCCUACUCCUCCUCUGCAAAGGAAAAACGAAGGUUCAGCACCAUGAAGGCAGAGGAGGAGGGAAGGAGGCAUCUGUGGGAUCGUGGUCCUAUGUUCUUUUGCUGAUAGAUGCCUGAGGGUGGAAGGGAAGGAAGAAGAGAAGGAAAGAAAGGAGGAAGAAAGGAAUAUCACAGUAACCACAAGGGUGGGUUAGGGAGAAGGCAUCUGCUUUUGAAGUUUCUUUACAUAUCCUCAAAUUGACAAGAAUGAAGUUAUGAAAAGCACAAAUUGCUUAGAUACAAAGUGGGCAGUGUUGUUACAUAAACUGUUCUCUCUGGGAUUAACCACUGUCGUUCACAGUCACUUAUCUCAGUUUCAGAAAGUUUGGGACACUUGGAAGAAAGGGGAGAACAGAUAUGCUGAGACUGUGUGUCUCAGUGUUCCCACAUUUGUGGGGAAUUAUAUUACAGCUUUUACGUUCUGUAGAAGGAGACUAGAAGAGUGCAGGAGACAGGAGAUGAGGAAAAAAUAAAACCCAAUGUCAAGAUUAUUUUUUUUUUUUAAUUUUUAACAUAGGAGCAUUGACUGUUGUCUGAUUUUUUUUUUUUUUUUUUUUUUUUUUCUGAGCUAUUGGGUAAGGAGGGGCUGAGAGAUGCUGGGGGGAGCUGGUGGUUAAGUGGCAGAACAAACACAUCAAUUCAUAGUUCAUGCUACGGUGAGUUAAACAGCUCUAAGUAGCUUGAAGACUGACUGAAAUACAGCCUACGGCUGUCUGUCUUCUAACAGUUCAUCUUUUAUGGCCAAUUGCCUACUAUGAAACAGAACAUUUAUGGCAUGGCCCAAGUAAAGAGGCAAAUGAUUCAUCCAGAUCCAAGAUUUAAAGAACAGGAUUGAGAGGCUGGUUAAGUUUUAAAUUAUAAAGAAAAUAAGAAAGCAUGAAAAGAUCAGGUGGCAGGUUUGGUUUGGUAUUGAAGGCUGAAUAUUGAAGCAGAAAACAUAGAGACAAUACCCCAACUUCUUAGUGAAGGCAGUCAGCACUCAAAAUCAUACUACUGUCCCCACAAAGAGAGAAAGAGAGCAAUAUCACUUCAGAAGAAAUGGUAACAAAGCACCUAAAA